AGCGGGGUAGGGCAGCCAGGUUUCCCCGUCGGGCUCAUAACUCGAAGAUCGAUGGUUCAAAUCCAUCCCCCGCUA
rnacentral:tRNA from 1 species